AAAGUUCUUUUAUUUAGGAAAAAAAGCUUGAGAGGAAAUGAUUAAGCCUUGAUAGUACUAAAUGAAUAAGUGACAGCUAACUAUGUGCCAGCAGCUGCGGUAAAACAUAGGUCACGAGCAUUAUCCGGAUUUAUUGGGCGUAAAGGAAGCGUAGGCGGACAAAUUGAUCUAUUGUUAAAGGCACUUGCUCAACGAGUUGUUUGUGAUAGAUAUCGUUUGUCUAGAAUUAGUUAGGAGAUACUGGAAUUCAAUGUGUAGCGGUGGAAUGCGUAGAUAUAUUGAGGAACUCCAGAGGCUAAGGUGAGUUUUUAGGACUAUAUUAUUCCCUGAGGCUUAAAGCGUGGGGAGCAAACGGGA
rnacentral:rRNA from 1 species